rnacentral:rRNA from 1 species
GACGAACGCUGGCGGCGUGCUUAACACAUGCAAGUCGAACGGAGUGGCGAACGGGUGCGUAACACGUGGGUGACCUCCCCUGCACUUCGGGAUAAGCCUGGGAAACUGGGUCUAAUACCGGAUAGUGUGGGAUGGGCCCGCGGCCUAUCAGCUUGUUGGUGGGGUAAUGGCCUACCAAGGCGGCGACGGGUAGCCGGCCUGAGAGGGUGGACGGCCACAGUGGGACAGAGACACGGGCGAUACUACUACGGGAGGCAGCAGUGGGGGAUAUUGCAUAAUGGGCGGAAGCAUGAUGCAGGGACGCCGCGUUGGGGAUGAUGGCCUUCGGGUUGUAAACUACUUUCACCAUCGACGCGGUAGAUGGAGAAGAAGCACCGGCUAACUACGUGCCAGCAGCCGCGGUAAUUC